CCCGCACCUGAUUUCAAUGAGUCUUUGACUAAUUUAGGGUAUUUUCUUUUUUCUUUUUACUCUUUACUCUUUUUUCUUUUUUAAAUCUGAAACUUCCACCUGCAUCAUUUCUCCCAGCCUGUUCCACGCGUCGUGGUUUAAACUUUUAUCUUUAUAAUAUUGUUUCGGAUCCCAUAAUAUGGGUUCUGACUGAAAAUAUUCAAUAACUUCAAUAAACAAUACGUUCGUCACUCUCUGACGGCGCCUUGGUUACUACUGAGACAAAGCGAGUAUGUAGUACUGUUCUUGGUUCACGCCCGAGAAACCCUUUGAAGCGGGCAAAAAUACCGACAACUAACGAGAACAGGCGAGAACGAGAAGGCGAGAAACCGUUCACAUUCACGCUUCUCGGGUGUUCUCGGCGUGAGUCUGGAAGCGCUAUUAGACAUACUUUCCUAGAUUUAUAUUAAUCAUUAUGGGCGCUCCACAUUCACGCGAGACAUUAACGCGAGAAUCUCCGGAGAUUCUCUGCGAGGACUGUAGUGAGAACUUCUUUGGGUACACACUCUCACGCAACAGAAAUAAGAGAUGAAUUCGCUAAAUAUUUCAGUAAAUAGGUUAUGUACUGGUUGUCAAUAGACAUAAGUUGAUUGUACUUACAUAAAAGGAAAACUUGCUGUAUCGUCGAAUAAGGCGUUUUUGAACUUUCCUAUAUGUAAUAAUAAUUAUAAGUAAUAAAAGUUGCUGCUUACCGUAUUUAUUGUUUUCUUACAUUUCGUAGUAUCCCCAAAAAAAGAGUCUAUUAUUUCGUAUGCGAACCAUAUCGGCUUGUAAACAUAGUCGACACCUGCUCCAGAGUUUUCUGAUUUCUUAACUUUAUUUUUGUACCCUCUGUAGCUUGCAAAUAACGAUGUUUUUUUGUUUUUUAAGUCAUCAAUGGAUAUUCCCAUCAGUUCACUUAGACGACACCACGCAUCAUAGUUUUAUGUCUAUUUUUGUAGUCUUUUAAAUUUGUAUUCCAUAGCACAGGUUCCGCUUGGAAAUAUUCCAAAAAUUUCAACUCAAGUUCGUUUGUCCAAGUUACGCUCAUAUUGACGCCAUAAGGUACACAAUUACUUCCGUUCAAGUCGGCGGCGCGCGCGCUACUGAGAAACAUGCGAGUGUGGAGUCAAUACGCGCUCUCGCCUGUUCUCACGUUCUCGCGCUCCUUUGUCUCGCGCCAAAAAACCGACAAAAAGUGGAGAAAAGCUGUAGAACAACGCGAGAACUCGAGAAAUCGCUUCCACAUUCACGUUUCUCGCAUGUUUCUCGCGUUCUCGCGAGAUUCUCUUGAGAAUGUGGAGCGCGCUUUAGCCUAUAGUAUAAGCACAUGAGUAGAAAGACGGAAUAGAGACUAAGCUUCUUAAGAACGUGCAAAAUUGUUACCUAUUUUGGUAGGGUUGUCACAAUAGGUUACGACAAAUUAAACAAAACAUUUGUUAAAUAGCUGUAUAAUUACACACAUUAGUUUUAUAAUUACACACAAUUACAUGUACAUACUUACAAAUGCUAAACUUGUAGUAAAAAUGAAAGGUAAAAACACACCGUGUAGAAUUCUCUUCUUAUUAAAAAAGGACCUAAUAAAAUAAACGCAAGUAGGUACUUAGGGUAGGGCGGGGCUAGUUUAGCAAUUUUUCACUUGAGCGGAUAUAGCUCCUCAAUAAUAAGUCUCAAUGAGUCGUUAUGCGGCUUGAUGGAUUAGUAAUUUAUCCCUUAGCAAAAGUGUCCAUAGUAAUUUUUUUGUAACAAGUCGAAUUUAAGAGCUACAGCUGUCAAUGUACCCCAUAGGUGAGGUAAGUUGAGCACUAAGAAUGUCUAACCAAACCAUGGGUUCAAUGUUGACUAGAGAAGUGAAAUAUGUGUUCGACAAUCAGUUCUUUAUUUAUAGUCUUUUAGUGACAGAACAACACAACUUCAAGUAAUUUUCUUUGAAUAAUUAACCAAAACUAGAAUCAAAAAAACAUUAACGUAUCUUAAGAUUAACUUCAGCAUUAGAUUGAUGCCCGUUUUCACCAACAUCCCCUAUACUACCACAUAAGUAUGGGACCCUUUACUUAAAAGGUCCCCUAAACUAGCCCCUAUAUAAAAUUGCGUUUCACCAUCAUUUCUAUCCCCUAACUAGGGGUUACAUAACUAUGUGACGUUUUUUUCGAUGUUAGUGAUUGUUUCACUUGUAGACUUAUCGAUACUUUUAAAUAAUAUCGUUUUUUAUAAAAUUCUCUGAAGUUUUUACACAAAUAGAUAUUUAUGAUAAAUAAUGUUUUCAUAGCAAUAAUAAAUAUAAUUUCAUUCAUUUUUUUAAUUAAUUUAAUAUUUUCUAGCAUUUUUACUCUGUAUAUGCAUAACGAAACUUGCAUUUAAUCUGUGGUAACUUGUAUUUGACAGUUGGUUGACAUUUAUGUUUGUUUUAAUCGCCUCUUCCGUGUUAUUUUUAAAUUUUACAAUUUAUUUAGUUGCGUUCGACAAUCGAUUAUUAUAAUAAAAUGGCAGAAAAAAGGAAGCGUAGUCAAAAUUUUACAGUGGACGAAAAAGAUAAGUUGAUGAAAUUGGUGUGUGUAUUUAAAAACAUCAUUUUAAAUGAAAGAACAGAUGGUACAACCAACCAAGCUAAGAACCAGGCUUGGAUAAACCUCUGUUCUCAAUAUAAUUCAACGAGAAAUAUGUACAGGUUAGUUAAAUAAACACAAAGAUUUAGAAAUAAAAAUAGAAGUUCUUAACCAAAUAAAGGGUGGAAACUUCAAUCUGAAGAAUUUAUUUGGUGUGCCAAAGAAUGACUAAAUAGAGAAAUUGUAUUUUUUUAAAUAAAUUGAUUAUCUAUGACA